rnacentral:ncRNA from 1 species
GGCGUGCAUAUAAAGCGCUUAAAAGGGAAUGUGGUGAGAAUUUUUUAAAGCCACAACUGCCCCCGCAACUGUAGGCGGUGAGCUGACUGUUAUGGGCCACUGGAUUCUAAUGUAUCUGGGAAGGCAAUAGUUGGUGAUGGAACCGUGAGUCAGGAGACCUGCCUUGAUG